UGGGGAAUAUUGGACAAUGGGCGAAAGCCUGAUCCAGCCAUGCCGCGUGUGUGAAGAAGGCCUUAUGGUUGUAAAGCACUUUAAGUUGGGAGGAAGAGCAGUAAGCGAAUACCUUGCUGUUUUGACGUUACCGACAGAAUAAGCACCGGCUAACUCUGUGCCAGCAGCCGCGGUAAUACAGAGGGUGCAAGCGUUAAUCGGAAUUACUGGGCGUAAAGCGCGCGUAGGUGGUUCGUUAAGUUGAAUGUGAAAGCCCCGGGCUCAACCUGGGAACUGCAUCCAAAACUGGCGAGCUAGAGUAGGGCAGAGGGUGGUGGAAUUUCCUGUGUAGCGGAGAAAUGCGUAGAUAUAGGAAGGAACACCAGUGGCGAAGGCGACCACCUGGGCUCAUACUGACACUGAGGUGCGAAAGCGUGGGGAGCAAACAGG
rnacentral:rRNA from 1 species